AUGAGUUCGGUCAAGCCGGUGGGAGGCAAUGCCGGAAAAGUUGCCUUGGAUGAAGAUACAAUGACUCUUGACAUGGGUGAGGCUAAUAAGAAGCUUCGCAUCACUAGCGAUGGUAUACAGCAAUUAUUUGGUUGCCCUCGUGGUGGUCGUUCUGCGCCAAGGCCGUCAGAGGAUGGAUAUGACAACGCUCUGAUGAAGUUAAGAUCAGAGCUUGACAUUAGCAGGAACAAAGAUAUCAAGACAAAGGAUUUGAGGAAUAAGCUCAAGGUGCUCGUCAAGGAUCCUAGCAAAGAUGACCUUGCUCUGAAAGUGUUCUUCAUUAUUGUGUUUAUGAAGGUUAUGUUGCCUGGUUCUGCCCCGCAUGUUUCCAGAGAGGCAGCAAUGUUUGAGGGUCUCGUCUUUGAGGACAUGGCUAAUAUGGAUUAUUGCCAGCUGAUGGUUGAUGAGCUUAGAAGGGCUGUUGCCAAGUACCAAAAUGGUGAUACCAUGGGGAAGGCAAUCACAGGCUGUGCCAUAGGGCCUGUACUAAUGUACCUUGACUGCCUUAUCCGUGGCAAGACUGCAGAGCCUGACAUGCGAGUCCCCCGCAUAUGUUUCAUGGAUCCUACCAAGCUUUCUGAUCUGGUUGAUGCAGAUUUGAUAAAAAAAGGCAAUGCAGAUCCAAAGACUUGGGUGUUUGGGAAGCUUCCGGUAUGGUUUUUAGUACUGUUGUUUCGUGUGCGGUUGAACUGA
rnacentral:rRNA from 1 species